rnacentral:rRNA from 1 species
CCUACGGGGGGCAGCAGUGAGGAAUAUUGGUCAAUGGGCUUACGCCUGAACCAGCCAAGUCGCGUGAGGGAAGACUGCCCUAUGGGUUGUAAACCUCUUUUGUCAGGGAGCAACGCCGGCUACGUGUAGCCGGACUGAGAGUACCUGAAGAAAAAGCAUCGGCUAACUCCGUGCCAGCAGCCGCGGUAAUACGGAGGAUGCGAGCGUUAUCCGGAUUGAUUGGGUUUAAAGGGUGCGUAGGCGGAAUGCCAAGUCAGCGGUAAAAUCGCGGGGCUCAACCUCGCUCCGCCGUUGAAACUGGCGUUCUUGAGUGGGCGAGAAGUAGGCGGAAUGUGUGGUGUAGCGGUGAAAUGCAUAGAGAUCACGCAGAACUCCGAUUGCGAAGGCAGCAUACCGGCGCCCAACUGACGCUGAAGCACGAAAGCGUGGGUAUCGAACAGGAUUAGAUACCCUAGUAGUC